CAGACAAAUGCUAGCUCGACUAGGCUAGCAAGCUCCGCAUUAAAACCUCACUUACUCGCUUGUCUUCACACAGAUUUGUUUAUUUUUUUUAAAGACAAAUUACCUAUACUUAUAAGGGAGAGAUUCGUGCUUUAUAUGUAGAGAUUGUUUUGUUAACUGAGCUAGCUAGCUACAGUAGUGAAAUGCUGGUAUAGUAAACCAGCACAGAGCCUACUGUUAGCUUACUUGAUAUUACCAUCAGCUACUGUUGGCUACAUAUGCUAACUAGCAGGGUUAUGUCACGGCUUAACUGCAGUUAGAUAGCUCUAGCUAGUUAUCCUAGCUACCUUGGUAACUGCAGCGUAGCUAUCUAUCUUGCUAACAUUAGCCUGUUAGCCGAUGAGCAGCUGCAUUGUCCGUGUUGUUUGUUGUGGUACAGUAGAACCAGUGAAAACCAGCAUCAGGAUUUAUAACUUAAGAGAGAGGAGAGUCAGUCCUCAUGUCUACAUCCAACUUCAAAAAUAAAUGUGUGUCUGAGGUGAGCUGUAUUUAUUGCGACAGCUUGCUCUGCACGAGAGGAAUGAAAGCCGUACUUUUAGCAGACACAGAAAUCGAGCUUUACUCAACGGACAUACCACCGAACAGAACAGUCGACUUCGUAGCAAGUUGCUACUCCACGGACAGCUGUAAAUGCAAACUAAGAGACAUCGCGUGUCUGAAAUGUGGUAAUGUUGUGGGGUAUCACGUGGUGGCCCCCUGUAAGCCCUGCCUGCUAUCCUGCAACAACGGGCACUUCUGGAUGUUCAACAGCGACUCUGUCUCCACUGUCAACAGGCUGGACUCAUCCGGGCUGAACUUGUUGCUGUGGGGAGACCUGCCGGAGCUGGAGGGCAGUGAGGAUGAGGGGUGCUGCAGCCUGGGGGAGGAGGACUGGAUCCGGUAGGGCGGUGUGGAUCCUGGAUCCGGUAGGGCGGUGUGGAUCCUGGAUCCGGUAGGGCGGUGUGGAUCCUGGCCCCGCCUACAGGCCUCACUGCAGCCUCCCAGCCAAUCACGUCACUGCAACGACCUCACACAGGAAGUACUUUCAGCAGUUACCCUCAACCUCGGACAGACUGCUGGUCACACGGUUAGCUGUGUGUGUGUCUGGCUCCUCCACUUGCAUUGGGAUUCCAGGCUGUCUGAUAUCCUCAUCACAACUCCUCCGUAGGUAAUACUCAGUGCUGAUUGAGAGUAGCUUCUUCAGAGCUUUGUUCAGCCAGUGGACAAUAAGGCUGAUUAGCAGAGGUUUUAUUUCUCUCACUCUGUUGUGAAAAUAUCAUUGCAGAAAAACCACCUGCACUGACUGUGAUUAACACAAAAACUGUACACAGACGUCCUAUCGUCCUGUCAAAACAAGACUUGCAAGCUUGAGAACUGUUUGGUAUGGUGGGAAUAAGGUUUUGGUCCUGAAAUGUGUGGUAUUUAAAGGAUAUAUUCUUGCUUGGCGUUGAAUGUGUGAACAGGACGAUGGGCUCUGCUUGGCUCUGAUUGGCUGUGGGCCCUGAGUGGGUUUCGGGUGUGUGUUGUGAUUGGCUGUGGGCCCUGAGUGGGUUUCGGGUGUGUGUUGUGAUUGGCUGUGGGCUUUUCCCUGUGGUGACACAUGAAAUGAAGUCUUCAUUCAUUUGGCUCUUGGGGCGCCCCUGUGGCUAGUGGUUACUGCAGUGCUUGAAGCUGAUAUUCUUAAAGCCAAAAUGCUUGUGCUGAAUGGUGAGUGUGUGAGUGUGUGAGUGUGUGAGUGUGUGAGUGUGUGAGUGUGUGAGUGUGUGAGAGUGUGAGAGUGUGAGUGUGUGAGUGUGUGAGUGUGUGAGAGUGUGAGAGUGUGAGUGUGUGAGUGUGUGAGUGUGUGAGUGUGUGAGAGUGUGUGAGAGUGUGAGAGUGUGACCUCCUGCCCUGUCCUUGGGAAGCGCAGUGGGGUGCAGUUGACUGUAAUGUUGUGAUUUGAGAUGUUUGGCAGGCUGAUGUGGUGCUACUCUGACAGUGACUUGUCACUGGAGUGUGUGAAUAUGCAAUGCUGACAGUUACUGGCCUGCAGUAUUACUCCUGAGAAUUUUGUUUUUAACAAGUCAUUCGCAUUAAUUUAAUAGUUGUCUGGAAAACCAGCGUUUAUUCAUUCAUUCUUUGUUUUGUUUUGUGAGCAUUUAAACUCUGCUCAAGCCUGACCUGAGAAGUGUAAUGGAAUAGCACCAUAGAAACCCUCCUACUGAGUCACAUGUGAAACACCAUAUAAAGGUGGAAUGGAUAGAGUGCUAUUCAUUUACAUGCAGAUUGUGUGUGUGUGUGUGUUUGUGUGUGUCUGUCUGAGGUACAGGUGUGUGUGUGUGUGUGUGUGUGUCUGUCUGUCUGAGGUACAAGUGUGUGUGUCUGUGUCUGAGGUACAGGUGUGUGUGUGUGUGUGUUUGUGUCUGUCUGAGGUACAGGUGUGUGUGUGUGUCUGUCUGAGGUACAGGUGUGUGUGUGUGUGUGUGUGUCUGUCUGUCUGAGGUACAAGUGUGUGUGUCUGUGUCUGAGGUACAGGUGUGUGUGUGUGUGUGUGUGUGUGUGUGUGUGUGUAUGUAUGUGUUUCUGUCUGUCUGAGGUACAGGUGUGUGUGUGAGGUACAGGUGUGUGCGUGUGUUGAGUGUAGCACUGGAGAGCUGUUUACAUGCCCUUUUCUCUUUAAGCAAAACCUCCAUUUUAGAAACUGACUCUUGCUUGCAUCACAGAUUUAUAGCAAAAGCUUUAGUGUCAUUUGAAGCACAACUAGAGCUAGUAAAGGAAUGAAAAUGUUGAGCUCAUGUUAUGCCUGUUUCUUGUUGAAUGUUUUUCCAUGAUGCACUGGCACCUGGAAAGGAUGGAAUUGAGAACCAAAUCCUAUCAUAACCAUCACAGAGAGAGGAAAAAUGUGUAAAAAUGCAACUUAGAAUGUUCCCUUUUGCUUAAUGCUUAUACAAUAGACAUGGCUUGGGGAGCAAGUGUGUGACUCCAGCUCGUUCUGAUUCUGACAUUUCAGGGGUCAUUUCAGGGGUCAUUUCAGGGCUCAUUUCAGGGCUCAUUUCAGGGCUCAUUUCAGGGCUCUCUGAUCAGAGUUACUCAUCUUUCAAUGCCUGAAGGACAGGCAGUUAUGGACUGAAAGCGUAUGAAACUAAUGGUCAGACAGAUUUUCGUUUUCUCAUCACCACUGCGUCUGGGACGUGGAAAGUAUCAGAAACGCAACCAGUCAUUUCCUCAUUUUCAGAGUUCUUCAAACCGAGUUUAAAUCAUUCACGCUGUGAUCUCCUCUCAUGCCCCUGCACCAUGGAGAAGUGUUCUGUCUGUCUGUCUGUCUGUCUGUCUGUCUUUGGCCUUUAUGCACUGUAAUACACACAUUUUGUACUUAAAAUACAUUGUAUUUUGAUAUUGUUAAUUUCAUUAUCAAAAGGUUUUUUUGCCUUUUUAAUUUGAGUGUAGCAAAGUCAUGAAAUCAGAACUGUUAAAAAGGAAUGAAGAGGUAAAAUGGUCACUGGCUUCAAAAUCCAAAAAUAAAGUGAAAAGAUAUUGCUGUUAAAAUGGAAUUCAAUUAAUUUAAAUUAAGUAUUUAUUUUUAUUUAUCACAGAUGCAUUUGCAGUGUAUUUAUUGACAGAUUUAGUCCUGUAUUUAUUUCUUUUGUGUUUUAUACUUGGUGUGCUUUGCGUUUUCUAAAAUAAAGGUGUAUAUUUUGAA